rnacentral:ncRNA from 1 species
AACCACCAUCUCAUCGAAAGACAGAGACAACUUUGCCUCUAUCAAAGAGCAGGCAAGAGACAACCUGGCGAACUGAAACAUCUUAGUAGCCGAAGGAAAAGAAAGCAAAAGCAAUUUUUGUUGUAGCAGCGAGCGAAAUGGGAACAACCUAAACUAUGAAAACGGGGUUGUGGGAGAGCAA